AGAGUUUGAUCCUGGCUACAGAACGAACGCUGGCGGCAGGCUUAACACAUGCAAGUCGAGCGCCCCGCAAGGGGAGCGGCAGACGGGUAAGUAACGCGUGGGAACAUACCCUUUGGUUCGGAAUAACUCAGGGAAACUUGAGCUAAUACCGGAUACGUCCGUAAGGAGAAAGAUUUAUCGCUUGAGGAUGAGGCUGCGCGCCAUCAGCUAGUUGGUAAGGUAAUGGCUUACCAAGGCGACGACGGCUAGGGGACCUGAGAGGGUGACCCCCCCACACUGGGACUGAGACACGGCCCAGACUCCUACGGGAGGCAGCAGUGAGGAAUAUUGCUCAAUGGGCGCAAGCCUGAAGCAGCGACGCCGCGUGGAUGAAGAAGGUUUUCGGACUGUAAAAUCCUUUUCUGUGUGACGAGAGUGGACGGUAGCACAGGAAUAAGUCUCGGCUAACUACGUG
rnacentral:rRNA from 1 species